GAUUUUUUUUUUCUAUUUAGCUAGGUUGGUCCUUGGACAAGAGACCUACAGUCCAUCCCUGGACCAGUCUUGGAAAUCUCUUGAAUUUUAUCAGAGGAAAUACUUUGCUGGCAAAGUCUUUGGGAACCCAGAGCUAUCUCUCAGUCACAAUGAGGCAUUGAAGGACUUCCACAUGGCACAUACCCAAUAAAGAUAGGCAAAUACAGGUACAGGAUGGAGUCCUGCUUUGUCCAAGUUGGGAGAACUGCAUUCUUUGGAUUAGAAUGAGCCCUGACUCUAAAGUCGGAAGAACUGGGUUAAAGUUCUACCUGUGAGUCUUACCACCUAUGUGAACUACCAUGUUUUAUUAUUUAAAAUCAUUGUUGAGUUUUCUGCAAAAAAAAAAAAUGAAUACAAUAAAAAGGAUCAUGUGGCUCCCUGGCUGUCGAAGGACUCUUGCAGCUCUGCAAACAUGUUCCGUGGCUUCCUUGAACGACACCAUUGAAUUGGAAAGCUAGGAAAGGAAAUGGAAGGAAGAAAUAAAUUUCAGUGGUACUAGGGUGGGGGAAUAUCU
rnacentral:lncRNA from 1 species